rnacentral:rRNA from 1 species
AUUAAACGCUGGCGGCAUGCCUUACACAUGCAAGUCGAACGGCAGCACGGGGGCAACCCUGGUGGCGAGUGGCGGACGGGUGAGUAAAGCAUCGGAACGUAUCCUGGAGUGGGGGAUAACGUAGCGAAAGUUACGCUAAUACCGCAUAUUCUGUGAGCAGGAAAGCAGGGGAUCGCAAGACCUUGCGCUCUGGGAGCGGCCGAUGUCGGAUUAGCUAGUUGGUGGGGUAAAGGCCUACCAAGGCGACGAUCCGUAGCGGGUCUGAGAGGAUGAUCCGCCACACUGGGACUGAGACACGGCCCAGACUCCUACGGGAGGCAGCAGUGGGAAUUUUGGACAAUGGGCGCAAGCCUGAUCCAGCCAUGCCGCGUGAGUGAAGAAGGCCUUCGGUU